UACGUAGGUGGCAAGCGUUGUCCGGAAUUACUGGGUGUAAAGGGAGCGCAGGCGGGGGAACAAGUCAGUUGUGAAAUCCAUGGGCUUAACCCGUGAACUGCAGUUGAAACUGUUCUUCUUGAGUGAAGUAGAGGUUGGCGGAAUUCCGAGUGUAGCGGUGAAAUGCGUAGAUAUUCGGAGGAACACCGGUGGCGAAGGCGGCCAACUGGGCUUUUACUGACGCUGAGGCUCGAAAGUGUGGGGAGCAAACAGG
rnacentral:rRNA from 1 species